ACGCCGCGUGAGUGAUGAAGGCUUCGGGUCGUAAAACUCUGUCCUAUGGGAAGAAUAAAAUGACGGUACCAUAGGAGGAAGCCCCGGCUAACUACGUGCCAGCAGCCGCGGUAAUACGUAGGGGGCAAGCGUUAUCCGGAAUCACUGGGCGUAAAGGGUGCGUAGGUGGCUGAUCAAGCCAGAGGUGAAAGGCAUUGGCUCAACCAAUGUAAGCCUUUGGAACUGAUCGGCUUGAGUGCAGGAGAGGUAAGUGGAAUUCCUAGUGUAGAGGUGAAAUUCGUAGAUAUUAGGAGGAACACCAGUGGCGAAGGCGACUUACUGGACUGUAACUGACACUGAGGCACGAAAGCGUGGGUAGCGAACAGGAUUAGAUCCCUGGUAGUCCCGCCGUAAACGAUGAAUACUANGUGUCGGGCGUCAAAACUCGGUGCCGCA
rnacentral:rRNA from 1 species